rnacentral:rRNA from 1 species
GACGAACGCUGGCGGCGUGCCUAAUACAUGCAAGUCGAACGAACUCUGGUAUUGAUUGGUGCUUGCAUCAUGAUUUACAUUUGAGUGAGUGGCGAACUGGUGAGUAACACGUGGGAAACCUGCCCAGAAGCGGGGGAUAACACCUGGAAACAGAUGCUAAUACCGCAUAACAACUUGGACCGCAUGGUCCGAGCUUGAAAGAUGGCUUCGGCUAUCACUUUUGGAUGGUCCCGCGGCGUAUUAGCUAGAUGGUGGGGUAACGGCUCACCAUGGCAAUGAUACGUAGCCGACCUGAGAGGGUAAUCGGCCACAUUGGGACUGAGACACGGCCCAAACUCCUACGGGAGGCAGCAGUAGGGAAUCUUCCACAAUGGACGAAAGUCUGAUGGAGCAACGCCGCGUGAGUGAAGAAGGGUUUCGGCUCGUAGAACUCUGUUGUUAAAGAAGAACAUAUCUGAGAGUAACUGUUCAGGUAUUGACGGUAUUUAACCAGAAAGCCACGGCUAACUACGUGCCAGCAGCCGCGGUAAUACGUAGGUGGCAAGCGUUGUCCGGAUUUAUUGGGCGUAAAGCGAGCGCAGGCGGUUUUUUAAGUCUGAUGUGAAAGCCUUCGGCUCAACCGAAGAAGUGCAUCGGAAACUGGGAAACUUGAGUGCAGAAGAGGACAGUGGAACUCCAUGUGUAGCGGUGAAAUGCGUAGAUAUAUGGAAGAACACCAGUGGCGAAGGCGGCUGUCUGGUCUGUAACUGACGCUGAGGCUCGAAAGUAUGGGUAGCAAACAGGAUUAGAUACCCUGGUAGUCCAUACCGUAAACGAUGAAUGCUAAGUGUUGGAGGGUUUCCGCCCUUCAGUGCUGCAGCUAACGCAUUAAGCAUUCCGCCUGGGGAGUACGGCCGCAAGGCUGAAACUCAAAGGAAUUGACGGGGGCCCGCACAAGCGGUGGAGCAUGUGGUUUAAUUCGAAGCUACGCGAAGAACCUUACCAGGUCUUGACAUACUAUGCAAAUCUAAGAGAUUAGACGUUCCCUUCGGGGACAUGGAUACAGGUGGUGCAUGGUUGUCGUCAGCUCGUGUCGUGAGAUGUUGGGUUAAGUCCCGCAACGAGCGCAACCCUUAUUAUCAGUUGCCAGCAUUAAGUUGGGCACUCUGGUGAGACUGCCGGUGACAAACCGGAGGAAGGUGGGGAUGACGUCAAAUCAUCAUGCCCCUUAUGACCUGGGCUACACACGUGCUACAAUGGAUGGUACAACGAGUUGCGAACUCGCGAGAGUAAGCUAAUCUCUUAAAGCCAUUCUCAGUUCGGAUUGUAGGCUGCAACUCGCCUACAUGAAGUCGGAAUCGCUAGUAAUCGCGGAUCAGCAUGCCGCGGUGAAUACGUUCCCGGGCCUUGUACACACCGCCCGUCACACCAUGAGAGUUUGUAACACCCAAAGUCGGUGGGGUAACCUUUUAGGAAUCAGCCGCCUAAGGUGGGACAGAUGAUUAGGGUG